GAUGAACGCUGGCGGCGUGCUUAACACAUGCAAGUCGAGCGAAGCAUUUUAAAGGAAGUUUUCGGAUGGAAUUUAAAAUGACUGAGCGGCGGACGGAUGAGUAACGCGUGGGUAACCUGCCUCAUACAGGGGGAUAACAGUUAGAAAUGACUGCUAAUACCGCAUAAGCGCACAGUGCUGCAUAGCACAGUGUGAAAAACUCCGGUGGUAUGAGAUGGACCCGCGUCUGAUUAGGUAGUUGGUGAGGUAACGGCCCACCAAGCCGACGAUCAGUAGCCGACCUGAGAGGGUGACCGGCCACAUUGGGACUGAGACACGGCCCAAACUCCUACGGGAGGCAGCAGUGGGGAAUACUGGACAAUGGGGGAAACCCUGAUCCAGCGACGCCGCGUGAGUGAAGAAGUGUUUCGGCAUGUAAAGCUCUAUCAGCAGGGAAGAAAAUGACGGUACCUGACUAAGAAGCCCCGGCUAACUACGUGCCAGCAGCCGCAGUAA
rnacentral:rRNA from 1 species